GUCCCUGUAGCGCAAUAGAUAGCACAUUGGACUUAUAAUCCAUAGGUUGUGGGUUCAAAUCCCACCUGGGAUG